UUUCAAUUGUUAGUUAACUUUAUAACAAUAUUUUAUCGUAAAAUAUAUGUUUAAAGGUGUUAUCUUAUCAGUAUGAUACGGUCAUGACCAGACGUUGUUUACUUCGAUUGAUUUUUGAGAGUGUCAUAUGUUUUCGCGAUGUCUGACCCGGAAACGGAAAAUUUCAUUAAAAUGAAGAUACAGUGAUGGUUUCUACAAUUAUGAUGUGCCCAUUAGCUGUUUAUAUAAGAAACUAUAUACUUUUCUUUAAAUAGAAAUUUAUUUCAUUUUUUUAUGCUAAUUUAAAGAAUUAUAUGUCAACACGACGAGUUUUCGGAGACAUUCAGUGUAUCCUUGUAAAAAUGAACAAAACAAGAUUUAUGUUGGUCAGCUGUUAUGUUUAAACACCAGCUAUUCGCCAGUUGUUAUUUUUUAAUGGUUUAAUUUAUUAAAGCUUAUGUAUCUACAAAAGCAGUGCAUUAAAGCAUUAUGCUUAGCAUACAUCUUAGUCCAAAUAAUUGUACGUUGAUGAAUGUUAGCUUCAGUCUUCAGAGACGGUUUUUAUUUGGCGACUCUAAGCGUCCAUGUCCCACCUGUUGUUUUCCUAGCCAAGAAUGACAGAGCCCAGCGCUAAGUUUAUUGAGCGGAAAGAUAAAGGGCACCUGCUAGCUGGUCAGUGCCAUGAUGUGAAUACUGAUGAUGUGGAUGCUGAUGAUGUGGAUGAUGAUAAUGUGGAUGCCUCCGGAUUGAAAUAGCUGGACAGUGCCAUGAUGUGGAUACUGUUGAUACUGAUAAUGUGGAUACUGUUCAUACUGAUGAUAUAAUGCUGAUAAUGUGGAUAUUGAUGAUGUAGAUGCCCCGGAUGAUCAACCAGGGACUAAUAGAGCUGGACAGUGCCAUGAUGUGAAUACUGAUGAUACUGAUGAUGUGGAUGCUGAUGAUGUGGAUGCCUCCGUUGAUCAACCAGGGACUGAAAUAGCUGGACAGUGCCAUGAUGUGAAUACUGUUGAUGCUGAUGAUGUGGAUGCUGAUGAUGUGGAUGUUGAUAAUGUUGAUGCCUCCGUUGAUCAACUAGGGACUGAAAUAGGUCAACUCGAAGCAGUCGUAAAUGCUGGGAUUGGCACAAACCAUGAAAAACGAACAGCCACAGUCAGAACACCUUGGAGCUAGGCUGAAGAAGACGUGGUAGAAAAUGGCCUUAAAAAGUGUUUUAAGCUUAAUACUCUUACCAAAAAUAAUUUAGAAUGUCUUGAACUUAUAAAGAAGUAUCCAAUUCUUGCCAGGUGAUCAAGGACAAUGGUGAAAGGGUACAUUAGAAAAAUGCAACUGGCCUUGCAAUAGGCUCAUCAAAAAGCAAACAAUUAAACAAAUAGAUACUUUAAAUUAUAGAAUAGACUAGAUUGCAUUUUGAUUUAAGCUUUAUAUCUGAAUACCAUCAGUGAUUGACAUGUUCUUUGGAUAUUGUUCUAUUAUUAUUUAUUUUUUAACAAUUAAAAUUUUGAAAUUGAAUAUGGUAAUAACUUGUCCUCAAUUGGAGGUGAUUUUGCUAGAAUUGUCCAUGAUGUUUGUGGUCAUUUACACUGCAGUGUAUUCAAUUGUUUUUUUGUUCCAUGGUAAAUAAUGGUGUGUGGUAUUGUUUUGUAUUGAAUGCUUCUGUCAUUUCUCAGUGAUGUGAUGUUUUUUGUGUUGUUGGAUAAAUUGAUGAAAUGCAAAUGAAAUAUCAUCAUGUAUGAACAUGUCAAACAAAAAUGUAUUAACUUUCUUCUGUUUGCUAUCAAAACGUUAAGUAUUUGUUUGGCUGAAUUGUAUCUAGAGUCAAUGAAUGAAGAUUUGUUUAUUACUGAAAAUUGAUAUGCAUUAUUUUUUGUAAAAGAAAAAUUUUCAGAAAAAAAGUAUCUUGGUAUUGUGAUAUGCCUUGGCACCUGUCAGGGCUGUGGGCAUCAUGCAGUCUUUUACCUAGGACAGUAACUAAAUCUUUUCAUAUUUAAAUAAAACUUGGUUAGGAUGUUGCCAGGGACAAUAUGCAUGUGUACAUCAAGGAGCAUAACUCUGGCUUUAGUUUGUAUUGAGUUAUGCCUCAUAUUCGAAGGAGAAAAAAACAGACGAGCGCUGGUGUUUUCUUCAUGGCGCUCUUGUUGACCUUGGCGAGAUCAAAGUUCAAUGUUGAAAUAAGAUAUGCCUUGUAAGUUAUUUUAACUAACAGGGGAAAGUCUGACAAUCAAGUUUAGACUUUAAUAGCUUUAAUAGUGAUUUUUGUGUAAAGUGGACUUUCAACAUAUUUUAUCAUAUAAAUAGAAGUAUGAAUUCUGCUCUUUGGAGCUAAAAAUUAUCUACUUUCCGGCUAUUGAUAAUUAUGUACUUAUUUCACAUAUCCGAGCAUGUUAUGUAUCCAUUUGUCUACAUUAUACUGAUUACUUAGUAUUGAUAUAUUCGUAUUUAAUACCUGUCUUGUAAUGAUCAGCUAUAUGAAUAUAUCCAUCCAUCUGAAGUUUCUGUUAAUUGACACUUAACUAUUACAGUAUU